UACGGAGGGGGCGAGCGUUGUCCGAAGUUACUGGGCGUAAAGCGCGCGUAGGCGGGUUGGCAAGUCUGCUGUGAAAGCCCGGAGCUUAACUCCGGAGGGUCGGUGGAUACUGCCAGUCUUGAAGGUGCUAGGGAGAGAUGGAAUUACCGGUGUAGCGGUGAAAUGCGUAGAUAUCGGGAGGAACACCAAUGGCGAAGGCAGCUCGCUGGGACGGUACUGACGCUGAGACGCGAAAGCGUGGGGAGCAAACAGG
rnacentral:rRNA from 1 species